AAAAACUAUAAACAUCUAAAUUUAAAUUAAGAAAAACUAACAUUGGAAAAACAAAAAAUUAAUGUAAAAGAAACAAACCGACAAAUAAUAUUAUAAAUAAAAUAAAUUUAUAAGACACAAUCCGCGCUUCGCGCGGAAAAAAUCUCUAGUAAUUUAAUAAAAUGUAUUAUAUAGCAUCCUUAAUUCUUAGCGUCCAUGCUGGUAUAUUCUAGAAACAUGCCUUGAAAUAUAUAUACAUGAUCUGUAAAAUCUUGCACGAUAACGUUAACGUGGUCUCAGUGCCGUGCGAAGAGUUUUAGGGGCCUAAGGCAAGUUUUAAAAAUAAAUUUAUUUACAACUGUAAUGAAAAUAAUUUUUUAAUAUGAUAUAUUAUUUUCACCAAAUACACAAGUCUAAUAUUGUAAAAGAAUAAGUUUAUAACGUAAAUAUGUUAUAUUAUGUCAUAUAGAAAAAAAUACAUGAAUUCAAAAAAUGAAUUAAUUAAUUUUUGUAGAAAUGUUUUUUUUUUAAUAAGUCUAAACCACUAUACUAGAAAUUAUUUUAAAUUUUGGGACCCUAAAAAUAGUCAUAUUAAUCGGAGGCCUGAGGCGAAUGCCUUUUUCAAUACACUGUAGGCACGCCUUUGCGUGGUCUGGUUCGAAUCCUCUAUACAAAGCAUGUAGACAAUAUAUUUAUAAGUGUCAUUUAUAAAGCCGUCAUACAAAAAAAGUGUUCACAUUGAUCCGAUGGGAAAUAUUCAAAGUGUGUUUCACGUGGAUGAUUAAUUCACAACCCAUAUAUAUGGAUAGGGGCACAAAGCAAUAGUCGAAUUUUGAUUUGUUUCGUAAGAUAUGGAUAUUUAAUUUUUCUUAAUUGUUUUGCUUCGAAAAAAUACAAAUAUCCAAAUUGGAUAUUUAAAAAUAAAUAGAUAUUUUUAGAUAUUUACGAAUAUUUAUAGAUAUCUUGUUUUUUUUGAUGAAUACAAAUUCAAUACACAUUUGUUUCUUAAAAAUAUAUUUUGUUUGUAAAUUUUAAAUUUAGUUACUAGCUAUAAUAAAACAAAAGUUAUAAGUGUCAUACAAUGACUGGAUAUCUAUUUAUAGUGUUUGUGAUUUGCUUCGAUGUUAAUAGAUUGAUUUUUAGUAUUUUAUUUGUUCAAAAAUUUAUAAAUAUCUAGAUUUUUUGGAUCGAAUUGAAACGAAUAACAAAUUAAAUUAAAUUUAAUAGAUAGAAUGUCCAGGGAUAAAUAUGGAGGGACAUAGUCGUUGAUGUGACCUUAAAUUUUGAAAAAUUGGCCUUUCAACAUGUACACAAUUUUUUUAGAACUCCUGUUUCUCGGUUGUUCGAUGACAAAAAUGGUCGUGUUGAUAUAAAUUAUAAUUUGAACAUUGCAUUGCAUUGCAUUGCAUUGCAUUGCAUUGCUUAAGUCUAGGGUCUAAUGUAAUUUAAUAAUUUAAUACAAGCAACUCCGAAACUGGAUGCAUUAUACAAUACACAGCAGAAGAGGAAAGAUGUUAUAAUAAGAAGUAGGAUAAUGACGUGACUUGACUUAUGCAUAUGACUGGAGAAAUCAAAGACAAAAUAAAUUCCGGAAGUGAAGGGCCAUCACACAAAAGUGAAAAGCCUGCCGUUUAGCCGACAAAUCCAAAAAACAAACUUUCAUCGGUGACCAGAAAUCUAGUAGACUGGUCUUUUUAAUAUCUGUAAUUUUAAAACAUUUACAAAAAUUUGAACCUUUUCUUAGUUUUUAGUCGAUUUAUUUAGAAAAAAGUAUGAAUUUUAUUUCUACAAGAUUAAUGAAUAUAUUACGAAUUGUACCUUUCAAGCUACAACUAUUCAGUAACUUUUACUCUUUUAGUUUCCAUUUUCAGAAGGAAUAAAAGGCAGCAGAUUAGUAAACAUUGGAUUCUCAAGAAACAAAUAAUUUUAAGCACGUAAAUGGGCAAAAAUACAGAAAGCCCAGAUGGUAUGAAUUUGAAUUCUAGCCUUAGUUUAUUGAAAAAUUUACACUGUGGGACACAUUUCCACUUUCGAUUUACAUCUUGGGACACUUGUUGUUGGUCACACACAUUGUCUAUGUUUUUUGUCAGUUAUACCCCUAACUAAGUUUUGAUUCACUUCUGACUCUUUUCUAACUAAAACAAUCCGUUCAAAUAUACAGUCCAAUAAAAUAAAAAAACUGAACUUUCAUCAGCCCAAACAAAUAAAAAAAUACAAAUCUCGUUUAUCUUAUUAUCUCUCCUGUUUCGAGACAAUUUUUCAAAAUCACUUUCCCAAUUUUAUGAACCCUAAUUUCGACGAUUGUGUGGGUUCCUCUCAAAUCAACUCAAUAUUAGAGUUUUGUAGACUCGUUAUAUCAUACGGCGAGAAACAAGCUAUGUUCUCAUCACAAGACAAUCAGCUGCGUCACUAGAGCUUUUCCGGAUGAUGGAGCCAUAGAAGCAUCUUCUUCUCUCUCUACUUCUAGUUCUUGGCAAUGACAAGUAAUGGUAUCAAAAGCAUAUGUCGUGGCUUAGAGAAGAGCCGACGAGGACCCUCAACGCCAUGUUCGUUUUUGACGAUUGAUCUUCCUCUCCCACUGCUGGUUUAUCUCACCGCCUCCGUGAGAGAUUAUGUCGCUUUCUCUUCUUUCAAUUGAUGUCCUCUCGAUUGGUCUCUCCUACGCAAUUGUAGUAGAUCUGGGAGUUCGUCGUUCCGUGUCGUUGGUUUCUCCUCCGGUGCGUGGUGGUCUCCGGUUCCUCUGCUCUCCUCUUGCUCAAGAACGGUGUCUAAGUUCAGGUCUUGGGUCUCCGGGUCGGAUGUACACUGGCCAUGUUCCGGCUCACCGGAUAUAGUCUUGCUUGGGAGGCUCCUUACUUCUCUGUCCACCGUUGUUGUCUGAAGUCUGCGUUGAUGCUAUAAAUACGGAUGGCUUCCAAGAAAAACUGAUUCUUUUGAGAAGAUUGAGAAGGUAAGAAAAGAAUAUGUUUCUGGUUUUGUUCUUUGGCAUGAUGUUUGGGUGAUUAAAGUCCAUUGAUUUGUGUGUACAUUGAACCAGGAACCUAUUUGUUGUUUGAAAAAUAAAAAUUUGUCUUUAUUUUGAUAAUCAUCCCUCACAUUUAUGUGCUUGCUAGUUACCAUGCUUCAUUUAUAGUGUUCUUGAGCCUCAUUCACACCCAUCCACAUGAGCCUCUGUCCAUGACAUGUCCACGCAUAUUGCUCACAGAUCAAACAUUCAUCCACCUAAACUUUCCGCAAAAGCACAUGAACCAUCAUAUGAACAUGUUUGUCUUUUUGUUCACACAUUUAUGUCCAUGUCCACAUCUUUAAUGUCCAUAUUUCUAUCAUCCAUGUCCAUAUAAUUUGUGUUCAAUAUAAAAAACAUUUAUAAAUAUAUAUAUAUAUAUAUAUGUGUGUGUGUGUGGAUAUCAAAACAACAAGAAAUUUUUUUUUUAGACUUUUAUACAUUUAUUAUAUAUUUAUUUACAAAUUAGAAAAUGAAAUAAUAAUCACUUAAACAUAAUGGGGGUAAAUAUAAUUUUAAACUAACUACAACCUAAACUACUUUUACGUAUUUGAAUUUUUAUGUUCAUGUUCGCAUCUUUUUUGUUUACUUAUUUGACUAUUUAUGUACAUGUCCACAUUUUUCUGUCUAGUUCUUAUGUCCAUGCAAUUUUAACAUAAUUCUAAAAUAUAUAAAAUUAAUCUUAAACUAAAGAGAAAAAGAAAUUACAUAUUACUGUAACAAUUAUAUUUUCUUUAUAUAUCUUAUAAUUUGAGAAAAACAAGAAAAUAGAAAAUGGAAUGAAUAAUAAUAAUAACAAUAUAAAAUAAAAACAACUAUCUAAUGCAAGUUACUAUAUCGUUACUUUAACUAGUUUCCUCUUCUCUUAUUAGUGACAUCACAACUAGCUUGUUAAAUGACAAAGGGCAAAAUAGUCUAAAAACUGCAUUGGGAAAAGGAAUUGUGUCUCUCAAGCAAGAAGUGUCUUAAAAUGUCAAAAAACUGAAAAAUGUGUCCUAAUACGUAACUCACUCUAGUUUAUUUUGGUCUUUAAACCCAAUUUAAAUAGUGAUAUUAGACAAGGCCCAAAGCAUCUGAUAGCAGAAAUGAUGGGAGAUCGUCCAAUUCCUACAAAGACCAACGGUCCCGACCAAUACAUAAUGAUGUUAUAUGUGCGAAAACAUACAUUAACUAGUUCAAAAUUUAAUUUUCAUAUAUAAACUUUUAAAAUUUGGUUUUAACAUACAUUAACCUAAUUUCCGUUAGUCAAACGUUGAGUUGUCGUUAACCGGUAAUAGAAAAUCAGCUAAUUCAUACAUAAACAUGGACCAAUGGUACGGAUCAAUACAUAAACACUUCACUUGUACAAAAACAUACAACUAAUACAAAAUUUAAAUUCAAAACAUGAAUUUUUGAAAUCUGGUUUUAACAUACACUAAAGUUUGACAUCUAUACUAUUAUUUGAGAAGUGAAUUUUAUGUUUUGUCAUGCUCCUUAGAAUUUUAUGUUUAUUUAUAUUUUUGCUCAAUUAUUAAUUUUAAUAAAAAAUUUAGUGAUUUAACUGAUAAUUUAUCAUUAUCUUGAGAAUAAUUAAAACAUUAUAACGAUAAUAUCAUAGUCAAAUUUAUAUUAUAUAUUCUUUAAUAAUAUUAAAUAAUUAUAUAUAUAUAAUUAUAUAUAUAUAUAGAUAUUAUAUUUGGUUUAAUAGUAAAUCAACUCUGUUUUAAUAUAUAUAACACAUAAGAUAGAAUGAAUCAUCUAUAUCUUUUAAGAUAUUUUUUUAAGAACAACAAAAAUCACUCAUAGUGAUAAUUUCUGAAAAAGUUAGCAAAAAAUUCAAAAAUACAUAUAUUAUUAUUUGUAAAGUGAUUUUUUCUCUCCUGUUAAAAAAUUAGAGAGUCUAAAAUUUUAUUACCCUUAAUGAAUAAAUAGAUUAGAUUUUUCAAUAUAUUAUUACUCAUAAAUUUAAAACAAAUUUUAUUAAUUUGAUAAUCAUUGUUAUCUAAGAAUAUUUUAUAUUCUGUCAUCCAAAAUAUUUUACAUCAUAAUAUUUUAAGUAAAUAUAAAUCUUUGUAUAUUGUUUUAUGUAUAUAUGGAUUUUUCAAAUUUAUUUUACGUAAUAAAAACCAUUUUAUUAAAAUAAAAAACAAUAUAGUAUAAAAAAUUAAUAUAUAAUUAAUUAUUAAAUAUUCUAAUAGUAUGAAAAUAACUUAUUCUAGUGGUUGUUGAAUUGAUAAUAUAUCUAUUAACAAAUGUUUGUAGAAUUUUAAGCCCGUAAAUACAAGCAAAACACUUAGUACACAAUUAUACAAUUAUAAGCAAAACUGUUUAUUUAGAUAAAAAAUUUGAAAUGUCAUAUUAUUAAUAAAAAGAGUUGGCAAUUACUCAAUUACAAGCACAUAUAUAGUGUCUACUAAGUACUAACUAGGGUUGGGCACGAAGAAGCACUUGUUAAUCUUCAGCUAUCUAUUCGGUUUGAUUCGUUCAAUAAUUUGAUUUUGAAAUCAAAUACCUAUUAUAUUAAGCAUCUGAAAUAAAAUUAAUACUUAUAAAUUACUUGUUUCGUCCGAAUCAGACAUAUAUCAAUAGCACAAAACACUUUGGCGGACAAGCUUGCACGAGGUGCGAGGAGUUCUCCUUCAGCUAUGCUUUAUGUCGAUUCUACCCCACCGGUUUGAUUUUCUGAAUCGGGUGGUUUCGUUACUUAGUUCUUCGUUGUUGUAAAAAAAAAAGACUUGUUUCGGUUUAUUACUUGCCAAAAUUUAAUACUCAUCUAUUAAAGUACUUGAUUAUUUGUAAGCACUUUAAAUCAAAACUAGAUUUUAAUCCGUGCUUUUCAAGCGCGGAUUUAUUUUUGAAAUUAAAUAAAAUUUUAUAUAAGAUAGUAUAUAGGUUUGGACAUAUUUAUCCAGAACCGCGAGCUGAAAUAUACCAAACUGAAAAACCAAAAACAAAAUUAAACUGAUUUUUUUAAAUAACCGAGCAGAUCAUAUAUCUUUGGAACCGAAAAGUUGAAACCGAAUUGAGAACCGAAUGGGUAGAUGAAUUUUUAAAAUAUAAAUUAUGUACUUACAAAUAUUAAUUAUGUUUAAUUUUUAACUAACUAAAUAUCUGAAAAUUCUAUUUAUAGACCGAAUUACCCGAAAACCAAAUUAGUCGAAUAUUUUUAUUCAAAAUAUUAAAAGUAUUUGAAUUAUUCAAUAUUUUUUUUAUCCGAAACACCCGAAUUAUCUGAUAUUUAAACUGAAAACUCCAAAUUAUCUGAUAUAUUUUUAUCUAUAAAUAUGUAAUUACAUACACAACCAGAAUCCAAUGGAGACUGAAUUGGACCCAAUGCUUUACAUAUUAGUUGGUUCCUAAUAUUUUACAUAUUAAUUUUCUUUCUUUUUUCUUUAACCUGUUUUGUAAAGGUAAUCUGAGAAAAAAAAAAGAAAUAAGAAGUAAUUAGUAUUAAGAAAAAAAAAUCAAUUUCGGCUAAA